GCCCACGCAAUCGUCCGUCUCCCCCACACGAAGCACUCCUCCGUCUCCAACACAAUCCGCCGCCGCUUUCUCCUCCCAUCUCCGUCUCGCACCCCGUCGCUUCCGCCGUCGGCCGAUUGAUGAGUGCUUCCCGAAUUCUUCGUCCGCCGUCCCUCCCCGCACUCACGCACGCGUACUCCCCGCAAUCUUCCUCGCUCGCCUGGUUUCUGGUUCGUGAUCGAUUCAGAGCGGAGCAGGGGAUCCAUUGAUGUAAGGUUCAGCUUCCAAUCCAUCCAGGCCGCCGGCCAGUCCACCGAGGGGAGAUUCCAAGCUGUCCACGCGAAACCCUAGACGCCGUAGGGAUGGAGCAUCUCCGCCCCCUCGCCCAGUUCUUGCUCGCCUCAGCUCGCGGGGAUGGAGCAGGACGGCGCCGCCCGUCCCCUCGCACCAGGCCCAGGACGACGGCGCCGUGGACGGCUGGGCGCGCGACGGCACGGAGUCCCCCCUCCCUCACGGCGCCCCGGCAGAGUGCCCCGAGGCCGCAGAUCCUCCUCCCCUCCGCGGCUACGUCUCCUCGGCCGCUCGUGCGCGACCCUCAACUACUGCAGCGGUGGGAGGAGCCCUGCGACGACAUGCUCCCGCGACCCUGCAUCCGCAAGAAAGCCAUAUGGAUUGGGGAUAUGUACCUCGGUUUGGGUUUAAAGGGGCAAUCUUUGAGCAUUUGUAUAUCAACUAUCGAGGAUCUCAAGUUGACAUGGACCGCGCACUAUGAUCAAGUGCAUUCUGGUGCUAUGAUGAUUGUGACAGAAGAUGUUAGCUGCAGAAGCAAUCGCUAUGUCUCAGUUCCAAUAUUAAAAAUCAGUGCACCUGAAUUACAACACAAUUUUUGUCAUCUGGAACUGCGCUUAUAAGGUGUUUGGUCUGAAAGCUACGCUCCUGAAUACAAUGUGAUAUAAAAGGUUCAUGAAAUCAUCAGGUAUGGAAAUGCUUGACCGUUUUUGUAAAUUACUUAGUACAAUAUUAUCAGUUUGUUUUUUGCAUUAUUUCCCAGUUCUCUUGCAGUACUAUUCAACAACCUAUCUUCCUGCCUACUAGAUAAAAGAGGGGUUUUGUUUACUUAACAUGGUUGCCUGAUUAACAUAGUCAUCGUUUCUGUUAGUUAUUUUUCCCCCUACCGAAGCAACAACUUAUCUUCCUACCUACCAGAUAUACUACUCCUUGAUUGCUUAGCUCCCGGCUCAAGAAGCUUCACCAUUCUUUUAUAUAAUAUUAGAAAAAAAAUUGAGUUCUAACUUUGUUGAAAGACACACACAGUUCUGAUGUUCUGGGGCCAAUGUUCAUUUCUAGAGGCAAAUACUCUCGGAUUUCUUAGUGAACUAUAAUCCCAUCUAGAUACCCCCCCUCGAUAUAGCUCCCUUUAUUUUCACGACACAAUCUAGCAUAUGACGGCUCUGAUUUGGAUUGUGCGUGUUUCUCCAAAAACUAGGAUUAUAUGCCUGAGAACAAACAAAUAGCAUUACAAACUUACCUCAAAGCCUAUGGGUUGACUGAAGCUUGAUAAAUAGUUUCAGAUGCACUAUGGUCUCAUAACAGUAGAAAUAAACUUCAAGGGAAAGAGAACCAUAAGUAUAGGUGACUGCAUAGUAGUUGGGCACUUGGAUUUGUGAUAUUUUGACCUAAGCUUAGUGGCUUGUAUGUGCCCCAUAUGAAUAUGAGCCAUGGAGAUGAUACAAAUGGAUCGGAGUUGGUAGACUUCGAUGAUUUUGCUAAUCCUCUCCAAAUCAUCAUGGUUGUGGAGGGAAAACUAGGCAUGACUCAACCCAAUGUACAAGAAGAAAUAUGAUUUUGACCAUGCGAAUGGAAAUACAUGUACAUGCCACCUUGCAAGAGGUUAUUGAGUGCAGGCAACCCUGUGUUGGUGAAGGACCCAUCCUUGGCACCGGGGAAAUGAAGUGACAGGGGUCUUAAGACUGUUAGGACAAAAUUGGGACGAGUGACUCAGCUCAGGGUUCCUCUUUGCAUGUUCAAGUGAAAAGGCGGAGGAUGGCAGGGCGUGCUGCUCUUGAUAGCGUUUGCAUCGCUUCUUCAUACCUCUCGUGCACUCGUCGUUUCCCGUCUAUUCGACUUGGCGUCCUUACCAUGUUUGAGGGUUAUGUGUCACGCACUUGGUUCCGCAUCCCACGUUCCCUUGCUAGGAGUCCCUAGCCUUGGCGACAGGUAGCGACGUGCACUUGGGCGCUUGGCCUCCUUGGGUAAGUUCGGGGUUGGUGCCCAAGCUUGCAGCUAUGGCGACAACUUGCAUGGGAGCAGAUGAUGUAGGAACAAGGCAGCACACGAGUAACUCGCAGCCAGGGAAAUGAUACCUAGCCGAACAUGCAGGCAAUGGAGAGUACACGGGAGGUGUGGGUAGGGGUGAAAACGCUGCCGGGAGCGUACUGCUGCUGCUGUUAGUUAGCCUUUAGAUCCAGAGUCAAGUGGCGAGGGUAUGACGAUAGGGGAAGCGGGGAAGAUUCCUUCCUUUGAAGAUUGAAGCUGGAGAACUUUCGGGUGUAGUAUGAUCAACCUAAGAUAUAUCGGAUUUAUAUAUGUAUAGUAUGGUUGGCAUGAGUGCGGUAUUGGUGGACUAUUAGAUCAUCUUGGACAUUACUACUUGGAUUCUAGGUUGGAGGUAACUUGGGCACUUGGAUUUGUGAUAUUUUGACCUAAGCUUAGUAGCUUGUAUAUGCCCCAUUGGAUCAUCUUGGAUACUACUACUUGGAUUCUAGGUUGGAGGUAGCUUGGGCAAUUGGAUUUGUGAUAUUUUGACCUAAGCUUAGUAGCUUGUAUGUGCCCAUAUAUGGAUAUGAGCAUGGAGAUGAUACAAAUGGAUCGGAGUUGGUAGACUUUGAUGAUUUUGCUAGCCCUGCCCAUAUGUAUUGGACUUAGAUAACUAUGAUACUAGGCUUGGUUGGAUUAUAAUUAUGAUUUUUGCUAGAUUCCUUUGAAGAUUGAAGCUGGAGAACUUUAGGGUGUAGUAUGAUCAACUUGAGACAUAUCAGAUUUAUAUAGGUAUAUAUGAUUGGCAUGAGUGUGGUAUUGGCGAGCUAUUGGAUCAUCUUGGAUAUCACUACUUGGAUUCUAGGUUGGAUGUAACUUGGGCACUUGGAUUUGUGAUAUUUUUACCUAAGCUUAAUAGCUUGUAUGUGCCCCAUAUGGAUAUGAGCAUGGAGAUGAUACAAAUGGAUCAGAGUUGGUAGACUUUGAUGAUUUUGCUAGCUCUCGUGUAUUGGACUUAGAUAACUAUGAUACUAGGCUUGGUUGGAUCAUGGAGAUUUUGUGCUAGAUUCCUUUGAAGAUUGAGGCACUACCUGGAAUCUAGGUUGGAGGUAACUUGGGCAGUUGGAUUUGUGAUAUUCUUUACCUAAGCUUAGUAGCUUGUAUGUGCCCCAUAUGGAUAUGAGCAUGGCGAUGAUACAAAUGGAUCGGAGUUGGUAUACUUUGAUGAUUUUGCUAGCUCUCCUCAUGUGUAUUGGACUUAGAUAACUAUGAUACUAGGCUUGGUUGGAUCAUAGUUAUGAUUUGUGUUGGAUUCCUUAAUUUGAAGAUUGAAGCUGGAGAACUUUAGGGUGUAGAGUUAUCAACGUGAGAUAUAUCGAAUUUAUAUAGGUAUAGUAUGAUUGAAAUGAGUGUGGUAUUGGUGGUCUAUUGGAUCAUCUUGGAUAUCGCUACUUGGAUUCUAGGUUUAAGUUAACUUGGGCACUUGGAUUUGUGAUAUUUUGACCUAAGGUUAGUAGCUUGUAUGUGCCCCAUAUGAAUAUGAGCCAUGGAGAUGAUACAAAUGGAUCGGAGUUGGUAGACUUCGAUGAUUUUGCUAACCCUCUCCAAAAAUGUUAUGUACAAGAUCAUCAUGGUCGUGGAGGGAAAACUAGGCAUGACUCAACCCAAUGUAUAAGGAGAAAUAUGAUUUUGACCAUGCAAAUGGAGAUACAUGUACAUGCAGUGCCAACGAAAAAAAUGUUAAUUUUGGGGAUUUUGGUACGAAGCCACCUUGCAAGAGGUUAUUGAGUGUAUGCAACCCUGCGUUGGUGAAGGACCCUUCCUUGGCGCCGGGGGAAAUGAAGUGACAGGGGUCUUAAGACUGUGAGGGCAAAAUUGGGACGAGUGACUCAGCUCAGGGUUCCUCUUCGCAAGUUCAAGUGAAAAGGCAGAGGAUGGCAGGGCGUGCUGCUCUUGAUAGCGUUUGCAUCGCUUCUUCAUACCUCUCGUGCACUCUUCGUUUCCCGUCUAUUCGACUUGGCGUCCUUACCUUGUUUGAGGGUUAUGUGUCACGGACUUGGUUCCGCAUCCUACGUUCCCUUGCUAGGAGUCCCUAGCCUUGGCGACAGGUAGCGACGUGCACUUGGGCGCUUGACGUCCUUGGGUAAGUUCGGGGGCGGUGCCCAAGCUUGCAACUAUGGCGACAACUUGCAUGGGAGCAGAUGAUGUAGGAACAAGGCAGCACACGAGUAACUCGCAGCCAGGGAAAUGAUACCUAGCCGGACAUGCAGGCAGUGGAGAGUACACGGGAGGUGUGGGUAGUGUGAAAACGCUGCCGGGAGCGUACUGCUGCUGUCGUUAGUUAGCCUUUAGAUCCAGAGUCAAGUGGCGAGGGUAUGACAAUAGGGGAAGCGGGGAAGAUUCCUUCCUUUGAAGAUUGAAGCUAGAGAACUUUCGGGUGUAGUAUGAUCAACCUAAGAUAUAUCGGAUUUAUAUAUGUAUAGUAUGGUUGGCAUGAGUGCGGUAUUGGUGGAUUGGCAUGAGUGCGGUAUUGGUGGACUAUUAGAUCAUCUUGGACAUUACUACUUGGAUUCUAGGUUGGAGGUAACUUGGGCGCUUGGAUUUGUGAUAUUUUGACGUAAGCUUAGUAGCUUGUAUAUGCCCCAUUGGAUCAUCUUGGAUACUACUACUUGGACUCUAGGUUGGAGGUUACUUGGGCAAUUGGAUUUGUGAUAUUUUGACCUAAGCUUAAUAGCUUGUAUGUGCCCCAUAUGAAUAUGAGCCAUGGAGAUGAUACAAAUGGAUCGGAGUUGGUAGACUUCGAUGAUUUUGCUAACCCUCCCCAAAAAUGUUAUGUACAAGAUAACUUGGGCACUUGGAUUUGUGAUAUUUUGACCUAAGCUUAGUAGCUUGUAUGUGCCCCAUAUGAAUAUGAGCCAUGGAGAUGAUACAAAUGGAUCGGAGUUGGUAGACUUCGAUGAUUUUGCUAACCCUCUCCAAAAAUGUUAUGUACAAGAUCAUCAUGGUCGUGGAGGGAAAACUAGGCAUGACUCAACCCAAUGUAUAAGAAAUAUGAUUUUGACCAUGCAAAUGGAGAUACAUGUACAUGCAGUGCCAACGAAAAAAAUGUUAAUUUAGGGGAUUUUGGUACGAAGCCACCUUGCAAGAGGUUAUUGAGUGUAGGCACCCCUGCGUUGGUGAAGGACCCUUCCUUGGCGCCGGGGGAAAUGAAGUGACAUGGGUCUUAAGACUGUGAGGGCAAAUUUGGGACGAGUGACUCAGCUCAGGGUUCCUCUUUGCAAGUUCAAGUGAAAAGGCAGAGGAUGGCAGGGCAUGCUGCUCUUGAUAGCGUUUGCAUCGCUUCUUCAUACCUCUCGUGCACUCUUCGUUUCCCGUCUAUUCGACUUGGCGUCCUUACCUUGUUUGAGGGUUAUGUGUCACGGACUUGGUUCCGCAUCCCACGUUCCCUUGCUAGGAGUCCCUAGCCUUGGCGACAGGUAGCGACGUGCACUUGGGCGCUUGACGUCCUUGGGUAUGUUCGGGGGCGGUGCCCAAGCUUGCAACUAUGGCGACAACUUGCAUGGGAGCAGAUGAUGUAGGAACAAGGCAGCACACGAGUAACUCGCAGCCAGGGAAAUGAUACCUAGCCGGACAUGCAGGCAGUGGAGAGUACACGGGAGGUGUGGGUAGGGGUGAAAACGCUGCCGGGAGCGUACUGCUGCUGCCGUUAGUUAGCCUUUAGAUCCAGAGUCAAGUGGCGAGGGUAUGACGUAGGGGAAGCGGGGAAGAUUCCUUCUUUUGAAGAUUGAAGCUAGAGAACUUUCGGGUGUAGUAUGAUCAACCUAAGAUAUAUCGGAUUUAUAUAUGUAUAGUAUGGUUGGCAUGAGUGCGGUAUUGGUGGAUUGGCAUGAGUGCGGUAUUGGUGGACUAUUAGAUCAUCUUGGACAUUACUACUUGGAUUCUAGGUUGGAGGUAACUUGGGCACUUGGAUUUGUGAUAUUUUGACCUAAGCUUAGUAGCUUGUAUAUGCCCCAUUGGAUCAUCUUGGAUACUACUACUUGGAUUCUAGGUUUAAGAUAACUUGGGCAAUUGGAUUUGUGAUAUUUUGACCUAAGCUUAGUAGCUUGUAUGUGCCCCAUAUGAAUAUGAGCCAUGGAGAUGAUACAAAUGGAUCGGAGUUGGUAGACUUCGAUGAUUUUGCUAACCCUCCCCAAAAAUGUUAUGUACAAGAUAACUUGGGCACUUGGAUUUGUAUUUUGACCUAAGCUUAGUAGCUUGUAUGUGCCCCAUAUGAAUAUGAGCCAUGGAGAUGAUACAAAUGGAUCGGAGUUGGUAGACUUCGAUGAUUUUGCUAACCCUCUCCAAAAAUGUUAUGUACAAGAUCAUCAUGGUUGUGGAGGGAAAACUAGGCAUGACUCAACCCAAUGUGUAAGAAGAAAUAUGAUUUUGACCAUGCGAAUGGAAAUACAUGUACAUGCCACCUUGCAAGAGGUUAUUGAGUGCAGGCAACCCUGUGUUGGUGAAGGACCCAUCCUUGGCGCCGGGGAAAUGAAGUGACAGGGGUCUUAAGACUGUGAGGGCAAAAUUGGGACGAGUGACUCAGCUCAGGGUUCCUCUUUGCAUGUUCAAGUGAAAAGGCGGAGGAUGGCAGGGCGUGCUGCUCUUGAUAGCGUUUGCAUCGCUUCUUCAUACCUCUCGUGCACUCUUCGUUUCCCGUCUAUUCGACUUGGCGUCCUUACCAUGUUUGAGGGUUAUGUGUCACGGACUUGGUUCCGCAUCCCACGUUCCCUUGCUAGGAGUCCCUAGCCUUGGCGACAGGUAGCGACGUGCACUUGGGCGCUUGGUGUCCUUGGGUAAGUUCGGGGCCGGUGCCCAAGCUUGCAGCUAUGGCGACAACUUGCAUGGGAGCAGAUGAUGUAGGAACAAGGCAGCACACGAGUAACUCGCAGCCAGGGAAAUGAUACCUAGCCGAAUAUGCAGGCAGUGGAGAGUACACGGGAGUUGUGGGUAGGGGUGAAAACGCUGCCGGGAGCGUACUGCUGCUGCCGUUAGUUAGCCUUUAGAUCCAGAGUCAAGUGGCGAGGGUAUGAUGAUAGGGGAUCGGGGAAGAUUCCUUCCUUUGAAGAUUGAAGCUGGAGAACUUUCGGGUGUAGUAUGAUCAACCUAAGAUAUAUCGGAUUUAUAUAUGUAUAGUAUGGUUGGCAUGAGUGCGGUAUUGGUGGACUAUUAGAUCAUCUUGGACAUUACUACUUGGAUUCUAGGUUGAAGGUAACUUGGGCACUUGGAUUUGUGAUAUUUUGACCUAAGCUUAGUAGCUUGUAUAUGCCCCAUUGGAUCAUCUUGGAUAUUACUACUUGGAUUCUAGGUUGGAGGUAGCUUGGGCAAUUGGAUUUGUGAUAUUUUGCCCUAAGCUUAGUAGCUUGUAUGUGCCCAUAUAUGGAUAUGAGCAUGGAGAUGAUACAAAUGGAUCGGAGUUGGUAGACUUUGAUGAUUUUGCUAGCCCUGCCCAUAUGUAUUGGACUUAGAUAACUAUGAUACUAGGCUUGGUUGGAUUAUAAUUAUGAUUUUUGCUAGAUUCCUUUGAAGAUUGAAGCUGGAGAACUUUAGGUUGUAGUAUGAUCAACUUGAGAUAUAUCAGAUUUAUAUAGGUAUAUAUGAUUGGCAUGAGUGUGGUAUUGGUGAGCUAUUGGAUCAUCUUGGAUAUCACUACUUGGAUUCUAGGUUGGAUGUAACUUGGGCACUUGGAUUUGUGAUAUUUUUACCUAAGCUUAGUAGCUUGUAUGUGCCCCAUAUGGAUAUGAGUAUGGAGAUGAUACAAAUGGAUCGGAGUUGGUAGACUUUGAUGAUUUUGCUAGCUCUCGUGUAUUGGACUUAGAUAACUAUGAUACUAGGCUUGGUUGGAUCAUCCAAAACAUUAACGUACGCAUCAAGGCCCCUCGCUCGCGCGUGCCAUGUGUGAAGGAAGAGACAAUCGAUUUACUGUGCAGCCAGAUUUAUAUUGUGUACAAAAAACAAAGGUGAUCCACCACGGUUGCAGCGAGCAAGAGGGAAUCGCCUCGAGCCCCUCCCUUCUCAUCUCUCCCACGCAACCUCCAUGGUGGGCGGCUAGCUGGGGUUGCCGCCGCCGCCGCCCCCGCCCCAUCGGCCCAUCCUUGUUCAUCCUACACCGGCCACCGGAGAAGGGGCGUUCCUCAGAUCCUCUUCUCCCCAAACCUUCUCGUCUUCGUGUUCCACCCGUCCUCCAUGAUGGCUGUAGACGGGGCGGGGAAGGGGAUGUCAUCGAGGUGCCGUUCGGUGCCGUUCGGGCGGCGAGUUGCAGAGGAGGGGCGCGGGCAAGAGGAUGGCAUCGAGGGUUCUUGUGAAUCGUGUUGGUCGUUCUGGGGCGUUGGAGUGGGCCAAAUACCUGACGACGGGUAAGAUGGAGGUGUUGUCCGAACAGUGGUUGCUCGGUUGCGACCAUAUGGUGAGGCUCAUUUUCUUCUUUUUGUGAUUGAUUGAUUGUUCACAAGAUAGGUUAGAUUUUUGUGGCAUAUCACUAUGCUUUGUCUGUUGGUGUAGAACUUUUCCUAUUGUAUUAUCAGCUGUGUGACGAGAGGAUAGACCGACCAAUCUGAAGCUGCUACUCCCUUGUAAGUUCCAUGUACUGGGAUUUUACUUCUUGAGUUUUCUCUCUAAAUGGUAGAAUGAAAAGAGGCAAAAGUUAUAUAUGGAUUGAUUCCUGAAGUGCUUAGAUCACACAGGGCAGACUUCAUAGUGGGAGGUGCUUGACUUCCAAUUCCAAGAAACAAUUUUUGACUUCCAAUUCCAAGAAACAAUUUUUAACAUGCUUGAGGGAGCUUAAGGUUCCAUUGACUUUAGUUUCAUCAAAAUCUAUAAUUUGUAGGAAGGUAUUUGUUGCCAAAAGAUGUUGGUCGUUCUACCAUUAGACUGACAAUCCCAUCUUUAAUUUUUACUGCACUUUUAGGAAACUGCAAUUUACAUCUUCUCUCUUUUUAUAUAAACUUGCUAAGAUUAUUUAUUUUUCUUUGGUCUCUCAUCCUACCGUAGCUAUCUAUCUGUUGCAUAAAAAAAAGGGCAACCUGGUGCAUGUAGCUCCCGCUUGCGCAGGGUCCAGGGAAGGGUCCGACCACUUUGGGUCUAUAGUACGCAGCCUUUCCCUACAUUUCUGUAAGAGGCUGUUUCCAGGACUUGAACCCAUGACCUCAUGGUCACAAGGCAGCAGCUUUACCACUGCGCCAAGGCUCCCCUUCAGCUAUCUAUCUGUUGCAUAUGCAUUUAAAAUUAGGCAUUUAAAAUUGGUGAUGUCCCUUUUAGUUUGCUACAUUCUUCGACUAUUUGUUAGGAAACACACUAAUUUCAGAAGAACUAUGCUGAUCUCACCAUAUUUAUUUGGUGGUGUUCGUGUGUUUGAUGUUAUGAUCCUUGUAUUGACAAGUUGUUUGCACCAUGGUCUUUGACUCUGUUUCUGAGAUCAGGUGGCUGGACUACUUUGACUCAUAGUUGAGAUAAUUGCAUUUCAACGGCUGAAACUAUUUUUGCACUAUACUUAUAUUUAAUUAACCUCUGAACAACCAUCUAAAAGACUGCACAAAUCUUCCCGUUUAACCAGUAAAAAAUGGACCUUUAUGUUUUGAAGUUUGAAGAACAUUUACAGUUUGGGAUGAUCUUACUCUUUGUUCAGAGUGAAUUUACUAUUUCAAAUAUAUCCUAUGAUUCGUUGAUAAUGUGUAUUGCAGAUUCAUCAUGUAAUAAAAAAGAGCCUUUGUGAUACAGAACAUGAUUUAAUUAUCUUUUACAACUCCCAUUUGGAUUCGUUCAGUGUCCACAGCUCUAGACAUCGAUCUCAUCUACCUCAUCUGUAUGGUAAUGGUUCAACGGUUAAAUGUCUGUUCUUGGUAGUUUUUUGAGUAUGUCUACUGAAGUUGUAAGUUUUUUGUAUUCUAAUUUGGUUGAGAUACUUAAACAGUGAUUUGUUACUUCACCUGUCGAUAAAUGUAGGGCUAAAGCAAUAACUGGGAAAUCAUGAAUUCCAUGUACUUGUCAUAGCCGAUUCUUUGUUGUUCAGUAGUUUGUUUCAAGAGUGCAGGUCGUUUUUCUAUAAGCUGGAUGAAUAGCUCCCUUGUUCAGUAUGUACUGAAUUUUACUUGCUAUUUUAUUAAUCCUAUUAAGCAAAGAUGCCUUUUCUGCAUUGUCACACAUUAAUGCUCCUAUUUGAAGGACCCAGGAGAAAAUUCAGCGUUUGUACUACUAUGUUUCCAUAGUAGUUAUGCUCUUUCUCUGAAAUAAGAACAAUCAAAUAGAAAUAUAGUGUUGAUUCUUCUCCUUUUGUAACAAUUUGUUCUUAGCUAUAAUAUUAACAUGAAUUGUAUUUGUGAAGUUGUCCCUAAGCAGAACAAGUUGGCAUGGAGCAGUCUGUUCUAAAAGUAAUGUAUCCAUAUGUUACUGCCAAUCAGGUGUUUCCUUUCUUUCUUUACCUGAAGCUCUAUAUGAAUUGUUCUCUGAGUGCAAGUGGUCCAUGUGGAUUUUUAACAUAUCAUGCUAUGUACGAGUGAUGGUUCUCUAUUUCCAGAUUAGAUAUGAUGGAUAGUGUCAGAUUACUGAGCACCAUUUACAUAUCCCUGAAGUUAUAUUACGCUGUUGUGUUAUAUAUACAAAAAUAGUUAUUGUGGAUGCUGAUGCAUGCAACUAUAGGAGGAAAAAAUAAUUGUUUUUGUCGAAGGUCUUGGUUUCUGCGGGAUGGAUCUACGCGUUGCCCUCUUGGGUUAUCAUCCUUGUUUUGCCCAAAAUGACUAAGCUUCAGUUACUCUGUUUUGAUUCCCUAACUCCAGCAUUAUAUGUAGUCGGACUAACCCAGUAGUACUAAUAACACUUUGGUUUCCCUAAGCUUCAAUUUAGUUUUGUUUUCGCAUUACUUCUUUUCCAUAUGGGUUGGAGUGGGAGCUAUGAUAUUCUCUUUUCACGAUAUGAUUAUCUGAAAGAUUACUAAGCAAACAAUUAUUUUUAAUACACAUAGGAUAGGGACAUGAGUUUUAACUUCCUCUGGUUGUGAGGAGAUAAUAAAGAAGCUGAGAGAUCGACUGUUUGAGAAGCGGGUUCAGGAGAUCAAAGCCAACAACAACCUAGGCUUUGAAAAAGAUGUUUACAAUGAAAAACUGAGGAAGUUGUGAUGGACUGAAAGAUUUGCUUGAAGCAAAGGCAUCCACCUGGGAUAUAUAUGGCUAGAAGCUACAGCGAGCAACUGCUUCUUUUCAGCUGCUAAUGAGAUAUUUAUGUGUUCAUAGGUUAUGCCCUUGUUGGUAAGUUUGUGAGUAAGGUGUCGUUUGAGGAGGGCCACAAGCCUAGGAUGAUUUUUUUUACUAUGUUUGGGAACUGAAAUAUUAGCUGCAGAACUAUAUUAAAAUGUGCGUGUGCUAUAUUCAAGCCAAAGAUAUGAACUGGAGUGCAUAUGCAUGCAGGGGAGUGCAUCGGGGCAUCGGGCGGUCGUAUGAGAAGAAGUGCGUUCAGCUGAGGACCCAUGAUGCCAACGGUGUAGAGCCGUUCACCAUCGAGAGGAUCAGGGCUGCCAUUAGGACCUUCGAGGCGAAGCUCAACAUCUCCGCCGCCUUUCUCGACGAAAUCUCCCAAAGGCUCAUUGCCGCUUGCGAUAACUCAUAGCGCUCCUCUCCUUGCCGUGCGGUUGAAGGGAGGCAUCAGAGGCAUGCCGCCGCCGCCAGCGCUGAAACGUGCAGCAAUUUCUAUUGUUGUAUGUUAUGUUGCCAUGCAACAAGAUGCUUUUGUUGAUGGUAUUAUAUUGUUGUGUGUUACCUGUGAUGUGAUGAAACACUGAUGAGAUUUUAGGUUCUUACUCAUGUGAUGCAUCAACAUAAUAAGUUUAUGAAAAUUUACAUGUAUGUGCUAUCCAGAUUAAAAAAGAAGUUGAAAGGGUUGUUCCCUACCUGCCA